rnacentral:lncRNA from 1 species
CUUCCUCAGGAGGAAAAGAAAAACGCAGAUUCUGAUUCAAUAGGUCUGGGUAGGCCCAAGAUUCUGCUUUUCUAACAAGCUCCCAGGUGGUGCCAAUGCUGCUGGUCUCAGGACUUUGAGCAGCAAGGGGCUGAAUUACAAAAGCAAAAAGCUCUGGAUCACAGUCUAGUUAAAACAAAAACACAGAGAGGGAGGAAGCUGCUCCUGAUACCAGAGAGAGAUUGCAACGGAGCAUCGCUUUCCCUGUGAGCUUUCCGAAAACCGUGGCAAGAAAGGAAAGAAGCGCUUACCAACUCUUACGCCAUGAUAGAAGAGACAACUGCAGGCAUGGAGAGAAAGCCCUUCCCCGGUCUGGCUGCCCAGGAAACUGAUGAAGCGGACCUUAUUCUCAGGAGAGUGGAGAAGCAGGCUGUUUUAGGGGUACUGCCAGCCUUUCUAUGAGAAGCACUGAGCCUGGGCACCUCAGUGGGGUGCAUCUGUGAUGGAGAGUCACGGUUUAGACCCCACUGCCCCUGGUGCCCCACCUGGGCCAGCGCCAUGGUCAGCGCCCAUAGGAGACCAUCCUUCUCCCACUUUUUGGCUCAGACACUAGCUGGCUUAACCAUCCCUGACAACAGAGUGGAAACCUGGACUCAGAUGCUUCACCAUGCAGCACCCCGCAAGGUGUUCAGGGGAGGGCAGCUGAGGCCCAGGCCUGAGCCUCAGGAAGGGCAUCCUUUGUGACAACAAGGACGUGCAGGACCCUGAUGAUUUCCCAGAGAAGGAAAUGGAAAAUUCUCAGAUAAAAAAAGCCAAGGUCCGGGAGAGCCAGGAUCCCUGACAACAGCAGACACGGUGGAGGAUGAACGGGCCUCGGACCAGGGGCUGGGAGCUCUCUGUCCGCUCUCCCACCUGAGAGAGUCCUGGUCCUCGGGAGAUGAGCAGUUUCCACAAUGCCCAUAGAUACCCCAAAUGGCCAGAGCUGGGGGUCCCAGACUCAGAACACAGAGGGGCACUGAGAACCCCCAGGGGCAAAGGCCCUUCCCAAGGCCACCGAGGGACUGAGAGCCAUCCUGCCAGCCUGCCUGGCCGUCUUCCAUAUGCGCUUGGAGGUGGCCAGACCCAAGGGAGCCAGACGGUCCCGUCCAGCUGGCCCAAGGUCACCAACAGCUUCGAAAACAAUAGGCAGUGGGUCCAGCCGUGGCUGGGGCCAGAACAAAGGCCUAGGCACUUCCUCGAAUUGAGGCCCCCUCCUUCAUGGUUUGCCAAGGCCGGGGACGAAGGAAACCUUCAUCGGGAGGUAGGGAUGUUUUGCAAAA